rnacentral:SRP_RNA from 1 species
GCCGAGCCAACUAGCGAUGGCUUGUAACCCGAGCGGGGGCAUUAAGGUGGUGUGGAUGCCUGGUCGUUGCGCUAGGUCCUGGGCCUGUGGUCUGCAUUAUACGGCCCGCCCGUUUCCAAGUUGCGUAGCUGUGCUUGGGCUCUUGGGCGAAAGCUCCUGGGGGUCCCUGCGCCUAGAGUGGCGGGCACUGCGUGAGGCUGGUUUCACAGAGCAGCGAGUACCGCCCGCUUCCAACGGUGGGAGGAUAACGGGCCGCUGCAGCCUAGGUCCCUCUUCCGGCCCAAGCGCCUUCUAUGGCAGACCACCAUCUUU